rnacentral:rRNA from 1 species
UCAGGACGAACGCUGGCGGCGUGCCUAACACAUGCAAGUCGAGCGAGGAGAUCCUCGGGAUGAUCCUAGCGGCGGACGGGUGAGUAACACGUGGGGCAACCCUGCCUCAUAGAGAGGAAUAGCCUUCCGAAAGGGAGAUUAAUACCUCAUAACAUUGCAGUUUCGCAUGGAACAGCAAUUAAAGGAGCAAUCCACUAUGAGAUGGGCCCGCGGCGCAUUAGCUAGUUGGUGAGGUAACGGCUCACCAAGGCGACGAUGCGUAGCCGACCUGAGAGGGUGAUCGGCCACAUUGGGACUGAGACACGGCCCAGACUCCUACGGGAGGCAGCAGUGGGGAAUAUUGCACAAUGGGGGAAACCCUGAUGCAGCAACGCCGCGUGAGUGAUGACGGCCUUCGGGUUGUAAAGCUCUGUCUUCAGGGACGAUAAUGACGGUACCUGAGGAGGAAGCCACGGCUAACUACGUGCCAGCCGCCGC